CUCAGAGGAGAGCCUCUGUAAGUUUUAACGUCGUCCGUUUCUUCCUUCAGUCUCAUCAUUUAUUGAUUGCCCACUCAUCCCACUCUCUCUGAAUUAAACAUCAUCAUUAUCAUCAAAGGUAGCCGCUUGAGACUCUUCUUCACUAUAAAACGGUCUCUUCUCUGCGAUGAAUAGCCACAGUUAUACGGGAUCCCUAAUAUGCUUUUCAUGGAUGAGAAGAUUGGUUUUCUGACUGGUGCUUGAAGAUAUAGCUCUGGUGUAUUCAAUUCUCUUUAUGCAAGAUUUACUCUCUUAAAAGGAUAGCAGACAAAGGUCAUGCGGUUGGAAACUCGAUAGAGAGUUGCAAAGAUGAGUCUAAGCCUCGAAACUGUUCUGAGUAGAAGUGGGAAGAUGCAGAGCCAAGGUCCCAGAAAAUAGGAAGAAGAUAACAAUGUCUGUGAGUAGUUCUAUGAUACAAGAACCAGUGAGGACUUGGCAAAAUAAAAUGAUGGAAACCAUUCUUGUGGAGUUCUGAUUGAGACUGGAAAGAAGCUACGAUUUUAUAACAUCAAUGGUAAUAGUUGUUCUCCUGAGAUAGUUUUCUGUCGUUUUAUAUGGACAAGCAUGUUAUAAGGAGAACACUUAUCAUGUUGUGGAAGGACAUGUGUCGAUGAAGGCGUGACAGUCCAGGAGAAGUUCAAUAUUCGUUGAGAAAGAUUCUGUGUAUUUUGCCUUUUUUGGGAUUUGUAAUAUAAAGCUAACAUAUUCUUUGAUUAUUUUAUUUCAUUAAAUUAUGUAAU